rnacentral:misc_RNA from 1 species
GAUGAAGAACGUAGCGAAAUGCGAUACGUAAUGUGAAUUGCAGAAUUCAGUGAAUCAUCGAGUCUUUGAACGCACAUUGCGCCCCCUGGUAUUCCGGGGGGCAUGCCUGUCCGAGCGUCAUUGCUGCCCUCAAGCACGGCUUGUGUGUUGGGCCUCCGUCCUCCUCCCGGGGGACGGGCCCGAAAGGCAGCGGCGGCACCGCGUCCGGUCCUCGAGCGUAUGGGGCUUCGUCACCCGCUCUUGUAGGCCCGGCCGGCGCUUGCCGACACAUCAAUCUUUUUUCCAGGUUGACCUCGGAUCAGGUAGGGAUACCCGCUGAACUUAAGCAUAUCAAUAACGGAGGA